CUGAGAUGGUCACGUUCUUAUGACCUGCCUCAAGCUAGUUUGAAUGCAUGUUGGAAAGAACAUGUUCAGUUCUUGUUUGCUUAUGCAUGCGUAAGUUAAGGUUCCAGUUUGCUGAGUGCAUGUACAGUGAGGAUUUUUACAUGUUAUGCAUGUUCUGUGGCACUGCCAGAGACAUGACAUUUUUUCGCUUGAUUUUAACACUGUCAUGUUUUGUUCAUAAUUGGCAGGGAUCUUGCACACAGGAUAAAUCCAGGACAACGGACAGAAAAGACAGGCCUUGAUUUAGAGGAGUUUCCAGAACAACGAUAUGGCAAUGACUGUUGUUUUCAAGUUAAUGUCUGCCUUUUACAUAGUGUUAGAUGCACCCUUUAAUUACACAGUUUAUGACAUGGCAUACCUGCGGACAUGGUGGUGCUUGAUGCUGAUGGAGAACAUUGGACUGGACAGGGAGCGCAUUAUGGUGGAUUUGAGAAUAGCAAGCCAAUGGUGUUUGGACUAUUCUGAUCAGUUCAUCAGAUUGGUUGAGCUGCCACACAUACUGUGUGUGAAAAAGGAGGAAGCAGCUGAGGCUCUGCUACAGUACCAGAAUAACAUGGACACAUUUUUGCGAGAGGAGGAGCAAGAUGAGAUUCUCAACCAUUUUGCUUUAGCUUGAUAAACCAAUCAUAGCGUACCAUUAUGCCUCGCUUUUCCCUCCCCUUUUUCACAAGCGGGAAGCCAUGAAUGAAAACACCGGUGAAGACUUAGUCCCCCUAAAAAAGUCAACAUCAAUAAUAUGGAAGUGGUUUGGAUUUUCCCAAACUGACGUGACACACAGGUGAUUUGCAAAGUUUGCACAGAGAAGGUUCUCAUGUCAGACGGUAACACAACAAACCUUUCCAACCAUUUAAAGUGGCAUCAACAAACAGUACGCUGAGAGUCAAGCACUGAGGAGGUCCGCUACACUGCCGCCAGCAGAGGCUAACGCUAACAUUACAGGAAGACCAAAACAAACAACGCUAACACAAGCAUUUGAGAGAGGCGCUCCAUAUGACAAGACAAGUAAACGAUGGAAAGAG